rnacentral:rRNA from 1 species
AGGCCAAGCUGCUCACGCCCGAGGAGGAGGCGCUCCGGCGCAACACCGACUGCGUCUACUUCCUCGCCUCGCCCCUCACCUGCAAGAAGGGGAACCAAUGUGAUUUUCGUCACAGUGAGGGUGCCCGGAUGAACCCUAGAGAUUGUUACUACUGGUUAAAUGGCAAUUGCUUGAAUCCAAAAUGUUCAUUUCGCCAUCCGCCAAUUGAUGGUAUGUUUGGUGCUCCAACUCCUGGAAUACCUGCAGUUUCUUCACACUAUGCUGCUUAUAACUCGGGCAAGCAGAUGGUCCCGUGUUAUUACUUUCAGAAAGGGAACUGCAUCAAAGGUGAUAAAUGCCCUUUUUCCCAUGGACCGCAGCCCGCUGGCAAUAAUCCACCAGAACAGGUGGCGAAGGUUUCUUCCUUUCCUUUGGAGCAGCCUCAGACCCAAAAGAAUGAUUUUUUGGGUGUUAAGGAGUUUGCGCAGACAAAUCAUCUAAUUCAGCAAGGUGGCCCAAUAAUUGGCGACAGGUCCAAGUCAGUUAAUAGGGUUGCAGCGAAUUUCGCCAGGACAGCAGCAGCUGCAAUACCAGCUGACCUAGCUUCCAGUGCAGUGAAAUCUUUGCCCAAGUCAGGGAGGGUAAAAAACAGCAUGCCAGCAGCAAAUAAAAGUGUCGGAACCUCUUCAGGCGAGGAUCAUCCCGAGUGCUAUCAGAACAAUCUUCCUGUGGAAACUGAUCCUAUGCAAGAUUGGAGUCAACCUUACCAAACACCUCCUCAGGAUGACAUGCCCGAGGACAGUAGAGAUGCUGAUGACUUAUUGGGGGAGUCUUCGCCUGGUUUUGAUGUUCUUGUGGCCAACGAUGCAGAUGCCGGUGCUUAUAUGCACGAUCCUGACGAUUUUGGAAGGGAUAUAUAUCCAGUAGAAGAUUAUGAAUAUGCUCCGGCUGAUUUUGAAAUCCAGUCUCAUCAUGAAAGAGAGCUAUUUAACGGAAUGGGUGAGCAAGGACCGAUCGGACAAAUGUAUGAUGGCUAUGACAGGAAACGUCGUAGAACAUCUUCUGAGAGGAACUUGGACAGACCUUCCUAUUCAGAAAGGAGGUCUCGGCAGAGAGACACUGGCCCUGUUGAGAUAGAUGGGUCAGAUUUACGUCACCGGCUCCGCAGGAGAAAAAUAAAUGGGUCUCCAGGCGUCAGCCCGGAACGCAGUGGAGAGUCGCGUCGGAGGGAUGACCGCUACAGGGAAAGGGCAUAUGAUGGUCACCGUACACACAGAGAUCGCCAUCAGGGCCCUCGAGGGAGCACUCUAAGCUCCCGUCUGCAAGGCAGAAUAAAGCUUCCUGGAAGAUCACCUGAUAGAGUAGAUGCUCGCUCUGAGAGAGAGCGAGAUAGAAGACAACUCCGGGACAGGCUGUCUCCAGUUAUGCCUAUGGAUAUUCAGGGAGGCAGGCAUCGGGAGGCAGGGCAUCAUCAAGAGAGGAUCCGGCAGAGAUCAAGCGAGCGUGCUUCAAGUGCCAGGAUCGCUGAUGGCAAGCAUUCAAGACGGAAUGUAACAGAUUCACUCAACUUCGCCAGCCGGAAAGACUUUGGUCCAGAGUCUAGGAAGGCGAAUGGAAGUGUUCAAUCUGAAGCAUCUCUUGAUUUUGAAGGCCCAACCCCUCUCAGUGUCAUCUUACAGAGGAAACGACAGGCUGCAAGCGGCAAUGGCAAUGGCUCAUCUGCCCACAAUGUGAAAGAAGAUAAAUCUGCUGUGGUCUCUCACAGGCAGGCUCAAUCUCCGGCUGAAGCCGAGAAGGAGGGGUACGACAACACUAUCAGUUCAGAAGAAUACAAGAGUAGAUCAGGUGAUGAAGAAUAUAAAGAGGAAGGCCAGGUCCCUGCAUCUUCGUCACACGGUGACAAAGCUGAGGCUGAAGAUAUGAUUGAAGUGGAAAAUCAAGAGGCUGAUAACUAUGAGCAGAGGCAGGGUGAGUCAGAGUAUGAGGCGACUGAAGGCUACGAGUACAAAUCCGAAGAUGAGAAUGCAUAUCAAGACGACGAGGAAGAGUUUGAGGAUGACGAUGAUUUUGCCCGGAAAGUCGGGGUCGUCUUCUCUUGA